GAUGAACGCUGGCGGCGUGCCUAAUACAUGCAAGUCGAGCGAAUGGAUUAAGAGCUUGCUCUUAUGAAGUUAGCGGCGGACGGGUGAGUAACACGUGGGUAACCUGCCCAUAAGACUGGGAUAACUCCGGGAAACCGGGGCUAAUACCGGAUAACAUUUUGAACCGCAUGGUUCGAAAUUGAAAGGCGGCUUCGGCUGUCACUUAUGGAUGGACCCGCGUCGCAUUAGCUAGUUGGUGAGGUAACGGCUCACCAAGGCAACGAUGCGUAGCCGACCUGAGAAGGUGAUCGGCCACACUGGGACUGAGACACGGCCCAGACUCCUACGGGAGGCAGCAGUAGGGAAUCUUCCGCAAUGGACGAAAAUCUGACGGAGCAACGCCGCGUGAGUGAUGAAGGCUUUCGGGUCGUAAAACUCUGUUGUUAGGGAAGAGCAAGUGCUAGUUGAAUAAGCUGGCACCUUGACGGUACCUAACCAGAAAGCCACGGCUAACUACGUGCCAGCCGCCGCAGUAA
rnacentral:rRNA from 1 species